rnacentral:lncRNA from 1 species
UUAAUAUUCAGCUCUGUAAGUUCCUGUGCCGUCUACUUUUAUGUCAACUGAACACAAGCUUCUGAGAGGAGGAGUCAACUGAGAAAAUGCCUCUAUAAGAUCAGGCUGCAGACCGAGGGCCGGACCCCCGGCCAGGGACUGCUGCAAGCGCUCCUUCACAGCUACCAGCUUGAGCUCCAGGUCGAUCCUCUGCUCUUCCUUGGCACGGCAUUGAGCUUCCAGAGUGGCCACGGCCUCUUCCAAGGCCUUCGACUUUGCUCCUGAGUCCAGAGACACGGAUGAGAAAGUCUGCGGGGCUAAAGGCCCCACUCCACCCCCCCCCCCCGCCCCUUGCUGGAGUGUCCAGAAGGACUGGGUGAAGGCUUGUACUGCAGCCACUAUGUCACCACAAAGAGAAAGAGAAUAAAGUCACAUUUCUCUGUA